GAUGAACGCUGGCGGCGUGCCUAAUACAUGCAAGUCGAGCGAACGGACGAGAAGCUUGCUUCUCUGAUGUUAGCGGCGGACGGGUGAGUAACACGUGGAUAACCUACCUAUAAGACUGGGAUAACUUCGGGAAACCGGAGCUAAUACCGGAUAAUAUUUUGAACCGCAUGGUUCAAAAGUGAAAGACGGUCUUGCUGUCACUUAUAGAUGGAUCCGCGCUGCAUUAGCUAGUUGGUAAGGUAACGGCUUACCAAGGCAACGAUGCAUAGCCGACCUGAGAGGGUGAUCGGCCACACUGGAACUGAGACACGGUCCAGACUCCUACGGGAGGCAGCAGUAGGGAAUCUUCCGCAAUGGGCGAAAGCCUGACGGAGCAACGCCGCGUGAGUGAUGAAGGUCUUCGGAUCGUAAAACUCUGUUAUUAGGGAAGAACAUAUGUGUAGGUAACUGUGCACAUCUUGACGGUACCUAAUCAGAAAGCCACGGCUAACUACGUGCCAGCAGCCGCGGUAAUACGUAGGUGGCAAGCGUUAUCCGGAAUUAUUGGGCGUAAAGCGCGCGUAGGCGGUUUUUUAAGUCUGAUGUGAAAGCCCACGGCUCAACCGUGGAGGGUCAUUGGAAACUGGAAAACUUGAGUGCAGAAGAGGAAAGUGGAAUUCCAUGUGUAGCGGUGAAAUGCGCAGAGAUAUGGAGGAACACCAGUGGCGAAGGCGACUUUCUGGUCUGUAACUGACGCUGAUGUGCGAAAGCGUGGGGAUCAAACAGGAUUAGAUACCCUGGUAGUCCACGCCGUAAACGAUGAGUGCUAAGUGUUAGGGGGUUUCCGCCCCUUAGUGCUGCAGCUAACGCAUUAAGCACUCCGCCUGGGGAGUACGACCGCAAGGUUGAAACUCAAAGGAAUUGACGGGGACCCGCACAAGCGGUGGAGCAUGUGGUUUAAUUCGAAGCAACGCGAAGAACCUUACCAAAUCUUGACAUCCUUUGACAACUCUAGAGAUAGAGCUUUCCCCUUCGGGGGACAAAGUGACAGGUGGUGCAUGGUUGUCGUCAGCUCGUGUCGUGAGAUGUUGGGUUAAGUCCCGCAACGAGCGCAACCCUUAAGCUUAGUUGCCAUCAUUAAGUUGGGCACUCUAAGUUGACUGCCGGUGACAAACCGGAGGAAGGUGGGGAUGACGUCAAAUCAUCAUGCCCCUUAUGAUUUGGGCUACACACGUGCUACAAUGGACAAUACAAAGGGCAGCGAAACCGCGAGGUCAAGCAAAUCCCAUAAAGUUGUUCUCAGUUCGGAUUGUAGUCUGCAACUCGACUACAUGAAGCUGGAAUCGCUAGUAAUCGUAGAUCAGCAUGCUACGGUGAAUACGUUCCCGGGUCU
rnacentral:rRNA from 1 species